UACGGAGGGUGCAAGCAUUAAUCGGAAUUAUUGGGCGUAAAGGGCGCGUAGGCGGAUGGGAAAGUCAGAUGUGAAAUUCCGAAGCUCAACUUCGGAGCUGCAUUUGAAACUUCCGAUCUUGAGGAAUGGCGGAGAAAAUGGAAUUCCACGUGUAGCGGUGAAAUGCGUAGAUAUGUGGAAGAACACCUGUGGCGAAAGCGGCCUUCUAGCAUAAUCCUGACGCUGAGGUGCGAAAGCGUGGGGAGCAAACAGG
rnacentral:rRNA from 1 species